UACGUAGGGAGCAAGCGUUUGUCCGGAAUCAUUGGGCGUAAAGAGCGUGUAGGCGGCCCGGUAAGUCGGUUUGUGAAAGUCAAGGGCUCAACCCUUGAAAAGCCGACCAUACUGCCGGGCUAGAAUCCGGAAGAGGCGAGUGGAAUUCCUGGUGUAGCGGUUGAAAUGCGCAGAUAUCAGGAGGAACACCAUGCGAAGGCAGCUCUGGGGAGGUAUUGACGCUGAAGAACGCGAAAAACUGGGGGGAGAAA
rnacentral:rRNA from 1 species